AUGUGGUGUACAGGCAUAGAAUGUCUUU
rnacentral:piRNA from 1 species